rnacentral:lncRNA from 1 species
AAUGGGUUGGAGUUAGAAUGAUAAAGUUGGGAUUUUUUUAUGGACUUCAAUGGAGUUGGAAGGAGGAAAAAAUGGGUGUUGAGAGGUUGAAGAAGGCAAAAAUGGGGAAUUUAGGGAUUCUAUCCCGUUAAAUGUUCAGACUCCAUGGCGCCCUCCAUGAGGCUUAUGGCGCCCGCCAUGAUGCCGAAUUUGGUGUUUGGGCCGACCUUAUUUCUUGUUCUUGGGCUUCAUUUUUUCCUUAUUUUGC